rnacentral:SRP_RNA from 1 species
GCUGGGCGUGGUGGCUCACACCUGUAAUCCCAGCUACUCAGGAGGCUGAGACAGGAGAAUCGCUUGAACCCGGGAGGUGGAGACUGCAGUGUGAGCCACGAUCAUGCCACUGCACUCUAGCCUGGGUGACAGAGCGAGACUCUGUCUCAA